rnacentral:rRNA from 1 species
AUUGAACGCUGGCGGCAGGCCUAACACAUGCAAGUCGAGCGGAUGAAGGGAGCUUGCUCCUGGAUUCAGCGGCGGACGGGUGAGUAAUGCCUAGGAAUCUGCCUGGUAGUGGGGGAUAACGUCCGGAAACGGGCGCUAAGACCGCAUACGUCCUGAGGGAGAAAGUGGGGGAUCUUCGGACCUCACGCUAUCAGAUGAGCCUAGGUCGGAUUAGCUAGUUGGUGGGGUAAAGGCCUACCAAGGCGACGAUCCGUAACUGGUCUGAGAGGAUGAUCAGUCACACUGGAACUGAGACACGGUCCAGACUCCUACGGGAGGCAGCAGUGGGGAAUAUUGGACAAUGGGCGAAAGCCUGAUCCAGCCAUGCCGCGUGUGUGAAGAAGGUCUUCGGAUUGUAAAGCACUUUAAGUUGGGAGGAAGGGCAGUAAGUUAAUACCUUGCUGUUUUGACGUUACCAACAGAAUAAGCACCGGCUAACUUCGUG